GUAGUAGCUAAACGGGACUGUGGUAAAGCCCAGAUAACAGGUGUCUAAAGAAGAAAUAAUCUAAUUAAGAUUUAAGGCUAUAAUAAGUAAAAUGAUCCAUUUUAUCUGCUUUCUCAACAGUAACAUGAGUUUAACACUGUUACUUUUGUUAAUGUGUUCGGUACUCCCGGGCUUCAGCAAAGAGACACACAAAGAUGAGGGGAACUACACUAAUAGCGCCCGGGCGCAGGACUUUCAUCUGAAAUUAUUGAGGCAGUUUAGCAAUCUGUUAUCCACAGACAAUGCAGAACAUGAGGUAAGUACUGAAGGUGAUCCAAAUCCAGUUCUGGAAAACUUCACGUUCUUCUUGUGUAACACCAGCAGUAUACCCCCUCUGCACCAGGAGCUUGUAACUAUGCUUGUUCUCCUGCAGCAAGUCAAGCAUGCUAUGCAGCAAGAAUAUGAAAACCCUGUGGCAGGGUUGUCCCGUGUUCUGAGAAAUGCCCAAAUUAAGCCAAAGGUGAACAUCAUGGCAGACCCUACCUAUUCAAAGCCCUUCAGAACAGUCAACCUGGUUUUGGGACUUUUCUUCUUCGUCUUCAUUAUAUUAGUGCUAAUUUAUGACACUGUGAAAAUGUCCAAAAAUGCCAGGAGGAGGGCUGUAGCUGUGGCUGUUGCAAGGAUGAAAAGGAAGCAGGCUGCCCAGAGAACUGAGUCAUCCCACUAUUCUCAGGAUGUCACAUCAUUAUUUGCAGCAUCUAGUGUUUCUGCAGCUGCUCAACAAGACAUCACAGAAGAGUCACUUAUUCCAGGAACGUCAGAUAUAAUAAUGGUGAAGUCACUGAAAGCUAAUGUUGUGGAGUCCCCUACUGGAGUAACUUCAACAGUGCAAGGAAAGAGCGUUCUGAGCCUGAAUAAGUGGGAACCCCUUCCCAGUAUUCCUGAGAGUCUAGCAACAGAAGCUCUACAGUACUCAGCAGAGUUACCUUAAGCAAAUGUGGAGUGAACUGUGAUCUGGAGCAACAGGUUUUGAAAUCCCCCCUGUAAAAUCUAAAAUAAUUACAUUAUUAACCUUUAAUGGGAAUGUACCCAUUCCUAGCAACAUCUUACAACACAGAACGUAGACUCCAGGAGGAUAUGUACACUUUGACAAACCUCAAGGAAGGUCUCAACUACUAGUCCAUCCAGAACAAAUCACUUCAACAGCAAAGACUCUUGAUUCCCUUCAACAUCAAGGAGAGUGGUCCGGUGUUUUCAAGAUGCCGAUGGAGCUGCCAAAGAGUGAAUUUGCCGCAGAGUUGAUUAAUUCUGUCACCCCUUAUUGUGGCUCCAAUACUGCCUUAGACAAGAAUCAAAAAAAAUAGAAGCAGUGGCCAGCUCUCUAGUCAGAAACACACUGGUUGUGACAGCCCAGAUGAUGCAAGAAAAAAUAAAUUAAGCUCUGUCCAGUUCCUCAAGGGUGCUAUCACUUCAGGAAUCUUUUUAUAUUUACUGCAGUUUCCCUUUUUUAUAACUGCCAAUAUGAAUGUAUAAGCAGCUGUUUAUAACAAUAUAUUUGAUAAAAUUAACUAUCUGUUUAACAGUCUAUUAACUAGACUGUUGAAGUUCUAUUCAGCCCUGUGUAUCUGUGUAAAACUUCCUGACCUUCAGAACCUCAUACAGUACAUUCACUUUAUAGAUAAUAAAUUACAGUAACAUUUGUGUUAAAGCAAAUUUCUUUUAGACGUAGAUUUAUUCACAAGAGGAGAUUGGUUAAUUCAUAGAUUGUAGUUUUAAUUGAAUUUCUAAAAUUUGUGUUUGAUACAUAAAUAUUAGUUCUGUGAAACUUUAACAUACUUUCUUACAGAAUAUUUAUUUAGUGUUAUUUAUAGUUAGGUAUUUGGACUUAAGCUGUUCAAAACAUUGUUCCUGUUUGUUAGAUGUUCCACUACUUUGUGUCAUUGUUUCCAAAAUCUUUUUUUUUCUUUAAGUGAACUUAUGAUAUCCUAGAUAAAGUUGAUACUUGUCAUUUGUUUUCCACUUAUCCUUGGCACUAUUAACAAUCCUGUAAACAGUAGUUCAUACAGUGUUUUGUGUUAUAAACUACAUAUACAGUACCUUGGUAAUCAUCCUGUGGUGUGGAAAAUAAAAUGCUGUGUGUUUUAUGAUGACAGUUAUGAAUAGAUUUUCAGAUAUUAAUUUGGAUAAUGCUUUUAUCCAUAGCAGCUUACAUUUAGAUCAAUUACAUUAUCAAGUUUCAUUAACACAUCUCAGUGAAGUACAGAUCUCUACCAUUACUCCACACUGCUGCCAAAUAACCAAAGGUCCAUCACAGUAACAGAACCAUCAAAGGUUCAUAAGCCAAGCCAACUGUCUUGUGGCAUUCAAAAUUCAAAUUAACUUAUCUUAGUUAAGUUAAUUUCAAUUACUUAGUUCAGACUUUCAAAUACCAUUUUUCUUCAUUUGUCAUUUUUUACUUUAUGUUUAUUAAGGAUUUUAUCACAACAAUGAAGGCAAAAGACAAUAUGAUUCACAAUGACAAAUGGGUCCUCCCUCCCCUCCCUGGUACUGAGUGUAAUCAAUACAUCACGGGCCAUUGGAAGAGGUGUUAGUGGGGCCAGCGGGGGGCGCUCACCCUGCGGUCCAUGUGGGUCCUAAUGCCCCAGU